CAACCCUCAAGCUCUGCUUGGUGUUGGGCCCCGCCGCCGCGGCGGGCCCUAAAGUCAGUGGCGGUGCCGUCCGGCUCCGAGCGCAGUAACUCUUCUCGCUCUGGAGGCCUGGGCGCGUGCCCGCCAGCAACCCCCAAUCUUCUCA
rnacentral:misc_RNA from 1 species